UCUAAUGUGGCAGAUUAGUGCGAUGGAUUUAAGCCCCAUGUAUAAAACUUAUUUUCUUUAGAA
rnacentral:tRNA from 1 species